rnacentral:rRNA from 1 species
GAUUAACGCUGGCGGCGUGCAUAACACAUGCAAGUCGAACGAUGAAACUUUAAUGAACCCUUCGGGGAGAAUUAAAGCGGAUUAGUGGCGAACGGGUGAGUAACGCGUGAGUAACCUGCCUUACACAAGGGGAUAGCCUUUGGAAACGAAGAAUAAUACCCUAUAAAACCAUAAAAGCACAUGCAAUUAUGGUCAAAGUGAUAGCGGUGUAAGAUGGACUUGCGUCUGAUUAGCUAGUUGGUGAGAUAAAAGCCCACCAAGGCAACGAUCAGUAGCCGGCUUGAGAGAGUGUACGGCCACAGUGGGACUGAGACACGGCCCAGACUCCUACGGGAGGCAGCAGUGGGGAAUUUUGCACAAUGGGGGAAACCCUGAUGCAGCGACGCCGCGUGAUUUAGAAGGCCUUCGGGUUGUAAAAAUCUUUUGUAUAGGAAGAAAAUGACAGUACUAUACGAAUAAGGUCCGGCUAAUUACGUG